AUUGAACGCUGGCGGCAGGCCUAAAACAUGCAAGUCGAACGAGUGGCGGACGGGUGAGUAAUGUCUGGGAAACUGCCUGAUGGAGGGGGAUAACUACUGGAAACGGUAGCUAAUACCGCAUACCAUCAGAUGUGCCCAGAUGGGAUUAGCUUGUUGGUGGGGUAACGGCUCACCAAGGCGACGAUCCAUAGCUGGUCUGAGGGGAUGACAGGCCACACGGGAACUGAAACCCGGCCCAGCCUCCUAGGGGGGGAAGCAGGGGGGAGUGUUGAAAAAUGGGGACAAGCCUGAUGAAGCCAUGCCGGGGGUAUGAAGAGGUCCUUCGGGUUGUAAAGUCCUUUCAGCGGGGAGGCGUUACCCGCAGAAGAAGCACCGGCUAACUCCGUGCCAGCAGCCGCGGUAUUC
rnacentral:rRNA from 1 species